AAAAAGAAAAAAGAAUUUUCUGAGAUGAGAUGAGAGGUGGGGCGCUCGUCUCUCCGGGCUCCGGCGACGGGGCCGUGCCAGGCAGCAGCGGAGUGUCCGCCCCAUCAUGUUGUGUUUAGUAAGUGACCGAAUCGUGAGCCCGUGACCGGGAGCGACCAAACCGGAAUCGCAAUCCUCCUAAUUUGGGUCCGACCUAACCGUCGCCACUCGCUCGCUCCAAACCCUAGCUAGCUACCUACCUCGCGCCGCCGUCUCCGGCGCCCUCGGCCCUUCCGCUCCGUCAAACCGCCGGUGGCUGCGCGAGGUUCCCCUCCCCAGCGUGGCGCUCUUCAGCAUCGCCGCCCACCCCGAGGGCGCCGCCCUCCGCAAGGUCUUCAGCCCAUCCCCGACAGUGAGAUUCGCUGACAGACAAGCCGCCUGCCCAAGGUCACAACGUCGAGGUUUUCCCAGAUCAGGUAGCUUACCAAGCUGACCGCUUGGUUUGAUCUGAAGUCUCUACUUGCCUACCCGAUGCAAGUUAUGGUUACUCUUUACGAUAAUUCAGUAAUACCAAGAUAUCCCGUUCAUAAGGAUUUUGUCCUAAUACUCUUGACUAAAUGCAGCUGCUUUUGCUUUUUACAGCCAACAACCAACAUGGUAACGUACAAGUCUCUACUUGACUACUCGGAUAGGACGUCUCAAGUUAAAGCACCUGAAACAUGGGAUCAUAUGAAUUAUGAGGAUGACCAAGUUCGUGCACCUAAAACUCAGUGCACAUCUUACUUGGAUUGAAUUUAAGUUCGUGACGUAUAUCUGGUUUAGUUGUCUAUACACAUCUCAGUCUUGUAGGUUGUGAAAUUGUCAGUUUGUAUAUCAGUAUGUCACCAAUGUUAUAUGUGCUACACCAUCAUUACUUAUGCAAUGGGCAUAUUUCCUAUUUAGAAAAGAUGUGCUCUUCCCACAAAAUAGAUUAUAUUUAAGUAUAUAUUCAUCAAAGGCAGUAAGCUGCACUUGCUCCCUAGGUAUGUGGGUUUCCCUUCUACAGGUGUUAUCUCCAAUGAACAUUUGGUGAAUAGAGAAAUGGAUUUAUGAGAUUGACAUUGUCCUGUUUAGACUAUCCACCCAAGCAGGGAUAGAAGUUUGACUACUCUGGACCUGUAUUUUUGUUAGGAACAACACUACCAUAGUAAUUAAUGUCCAUAGUUCAAAAAUAAUGUUGACAUAGUGAAGGGCUUGCGCCAUAUAAAAAUAUUAUUUUAUAACUAAAUCGUCGUGUCACAUGGAUUGGAUGUCAACACGAUAGUGAUCUCACCCAGUACACCUUUUGCAAUAUUAACCGCAGUAAAUCAUUUUUUUAUGAUGUCUAUGUAUCUAACUGGCUGUGACAGGAGAUAGAUCAUUUUCAGGCAAUAGGAAUCAUUGGAUCAUUUUGCAUUAAUGAUGUUAGUUUUUGGGGAGGCAAUUGUUUUGCAGUGCAUCCCUUUCCUAAGCAGAGCGAAAUUUAUCUGACAUGUAAUGCAUUCAGAUUGUGGUGUUGCUUACAUUUCAGCUUGUAGCUGAGGACUGGAAUAGGCUGCGAAUCCUGAGCCGUGGUGGAAAUUGGGUUAAUUAAAUACUCCAAGACUGCAACUGUUAUCUAUGGAUGAAAUAACCAAACUAACUCGCAAGAAAACAGUCUCCAUGGUCUGAAUGACCAAACAGCGAACACAUAUAUGCUUUGCUCUCAUGGGGAGGGCUUCAGGAGACAGGAGCCUCGAUGCGCUGAAGAGAGGGGCUGAGCUGCCGAGGGACCAAUUUUGUGGCUCUGAUGAGAAUCCUUUGAGAUGCUACUAGUGACAACCCUACGGUAACCAAGUGAAGGUUUUGCUGUUGCUGCAUUUGGCUCGGUCUGUGGGUCUGGGGGAUGUCUUUUGCGAGCAUCCUGGUUACCUUUCCGUAUGUAAUGAAGUGGUUGUGAUGCUGUGAUUCCAGUUAAUGUUAUGCCUUUUGCCUUUCCA